rnacentral:rRNA from 1 species
AUGAACGCUGGCGGCGUGCCUAAUACAUGCAAGUCGAACGCUGGAGAUCUAGCUUGCUAGAUCGAAGGAGUGGCGAACGGGUGAGUAAUACAUAAGCAACCUACCCACGAAGACUGGGAUAAUCUCUGGAAACGGGGACUAAUACCGGAUAGGUAAUCGGAAGGCAUCUUCUGGUUAUUAAAGGUUAAAAACACUGGUGGAUGGGCUUAUGGCGCAUUAGUUAGUUGGUGAGGUAACGGCCCACCAAGACGAUGAUGCGUAGCCGGCCUGAGAGGGUGAACGGCCACAUUGGGACUGAGACACGGCCCAGACUCCUACGGGAGGCAGCAGUAGGGAAUUGUCGGAAAUGGGGGCAACCCUGACCGAGCAACGCCGCGUGAGUGAAGACGGCCUUCGGGUUGUAAAGCUCUGUUGUAAGGGAAGAACGGUAGAUAGAGAAUAUCUAAGUGACGGUACCUUACCAGAAAGCCACGGCUAACUACGUG